GGUGAAUAACUUGUCCUGGAGCAUGCCUUCUCUGCUCAUUGCCUCUAUUGAUGCAGCCUCUUUGAUCGAGCAGGGUCUAAUCAAUUCUUCAGUAGCAGGAAGACAGAGAGCCUGUGCCAAGGCACCAGAGGACAGAAAGGGAAUGGAGAAUGAAUCCACUCAUCAACCUGUGACAUCACAAGAUCUACACGACCGGAGCAACAAACAAACAAGUGUGUACUGUCCUUCUCCACGAGGCCUUGUUUCAACUAUACUGUAUCCAUUGUCCUCUCAGACAGCACUCGAGACUUUGCUGAUGCUUAUUCAGAUCACAAACAAAUGCAACAUCAUGGUCAAUGUAAUGUCUGAAAUUGUACAUUUCUUUAAACAUUUUUGU
rnacentral:lncRNA from 13 species